CAGCCCCGCGGUAAUACAGAGGGUGCGAGCGUUAAUCGGAUUUACUGGGCGUAAAGCGUGCGUAGGCGGCUUCUUAAGUCGGAUGUGAAAUCCCUGAGCUUAACUUAGGAAUUGCAUUCGAUACUGGGAAGCUAGAGUAUGGGAGAGGAUGGUAGAAUUCCAGGUGUAGCGGUGAAAUGCGUAGAGAUCUGGAGGAAUACCGAUGGCGAAGGCAGCCAUCUGGCCUAAUACUGACGCUGAGGUACGAAAGCAUGGGGAGCAAACAGGAUUAGAUACCCCGGUAGUCCCUGUCUCUUAUACA
rnacentral:rRNA from 1 species